GAUGAACGCUGGCGGCGUGCCUAAUACAUGCAAGUCGAGCGAACAGAUGCGGCUCUUGCUCCUCUGACGUUUGCGGCGGACGGGUGAGUAACACGUGUAUCCCCUACCUAUCAGACUGGGAUCACUUCGGGAAACCGGCUCUAAUCCCGGAUAAUAUCUUGAACCGCAUGGUUCAUUAGUGAAAUACGGUUUUUCUGUCUCUUCUAGCUGGAUCCGCGCCGCAUUAGCUAGUUGGUAAGGUAACGGCUUAUCACGGCAACGAUGCGUAGCCGACCUGAGAGGGUGAUCGGCCACCCGGGAACUGAGACACGGUCAAGACGCCUAAGGGAGGCAGCAGUAGGGAAUCGGACGCAAUGGGCGAAAGCCUGACGGAGCAACGCGGCGUGAGAGAUGAAGGUCUUCGGAGCGGAAAACUCGGUUAUUAGGGAAGAACAGAUGUGGAAGGAAAUAAGCACGGAGUGACGGUAACGGAUAAGAAAGCAACGGCUAACUACGUG
rnacentral:rRNA from 1 species